GUGACGUCAUGCGCAUACCCUUCGCAGUACGAGGAGCGUAAGCUGUGACAUCAUGAAGCCUGCCUCAAAAAGACGGCAUGCAUGCCAGUGGCCCAUGGAUGUGGGUGCAGAUCACAGGAAGGGCCACUCGACAGGAAGCGGGUGCCGUGUGGAUAAGGGCCAUCUAAGUACGACGGGCAUGAACCAGGAAGCAGUGAGGCGCAGAAGUGGCUUCCUGCUGCUGGGGCUGCACUUCCUGUCCCUGGAGGAGAAUAGCUCUACUACCUGCUUCCAUUUCCUGUUUUGUCUGUAUCGCUCAUAUAAAAACAAUCUGUACAGAUGAGGAAUAACAAAAACCUGUGGCCAUUAUUAUCCUACUGUGUAGCACAAGAGAAUGUACUCCAGUAAAAUGUAUUAAUUUAUUGCCAAUUCCGAUGCUGAAAUUGGUUUUGCACAAUAUUUUGCUUGUCGACUGUUUACACUGAGUCUUCUUUGUCUUUGUUUUGCACUUUGUUUGCAUCUGUGCAUAAAUGCUUUUGCUGCAGUAUGCAAACAAAUCUCAUUCUGUGAUCAAUAAAU